GGGGAUGUAGCCCAGCAGUAGGGCGCUUGCCUACUGUAAGUGAGGUCCUGGGUUCCAUCCCCA
rnacentral:tRNA from 1 species